UACGAAGGGGGCAAGCGUUGUUCGGAAUUACUGGGCGUAAAGGGCGCGCAGGCGGUCUUGAAAGUCAGGCGUGAAAGCCCCGGGCUUAACCUGGGAAUUGCGCUUGAUACUCUGAGACUGGAGUACGGGAGAGGAGAGUGGAAUUCCCAGUGUAGAGGUGAAAUUCGUAGAUAUUGGGAAGAACACCAGUGGCGAAGGCGGCUCUCUGGACCGUAACUGACGCUGAGGCGCGAAAGCGUGGGGAGCAAACAGG
rnacentral:rRNA from 1 species